GACGAACGCUGGCGGCGUGCCUAACACAUGCAAGUCGAGCGAUCGGCCCGGGCGGGGCAACCCACCCGGGUACGGAGCGGCGAACGGGUGAGUAACACGUGGGUAACCUGCCCCAGGCUCCGGGAUAACCCCGGGAAACCGGGGCUAAUACCGGAUACACUCCUCGGACCGCAUGGCCCGGGGAGGAAAGCUCCGGCGGCCUGGGAUGGGCCCGCGGCCUAUCAGCUCGUUGGUGGGGUAACGGCCCACCAAGGCGACGACGGGUAGCUGGCGUGAG
rnacentral:rRNA from 1 species